rnacentral:rRNA from 1 species
CUGGGUGCUUACACAUGCAGUCGAACGGUGAACACAGGAGCUUGCUCUGGGGGAUCAGUGGCGAACGGGUGAGUAACACGUGAGCAACCUGCCCCUGACUCUGGGAUAAGCGCUGGAAACGGCGUCUAAUACUGGAUAUGUGACGUGACCGCAUGGUCUGCGUUUGGAAAGAUUUUUCGGUUGGGGAUGGGCUCGCGGCCUAUCAGCUUGUUGGUGAGGUAAUGGCUCACCAAGGCGUCGACGGGUAGCCGGCCUGAGAGGGUGACCGGCCACACUGGGACUGAGACACGGCCCAGACUCCUACGGGAGGCAGCAGUGGGGAAUAUUGCACAAUGGGCGAAAGCCUGAUGCAGCAACGCCGCGUGAGGGAUGACGGCCUUCGGGUUGUAAACCUCUUUUAGCAGGGAAGAAGCGAAAGUGACGGUACCUGCAGAAAAAGCGCCGGCUAACUACGUGCCAGCAGCCGCGGUAAUACGUAGGGCGCAAGCGUUAUCCGGAAUUAUUGGGCGUAAAGAGCUCGUAGGCGGUUUGUCGCGUCUGCUGUGAAAUCCCGAGGCUCAACCUCGGGCCUGCAGUGGGUACGGGCAGACUAGAGUGCGGUAGGGGAGAUUGGAAUUCCUGGUGUAGCGGUGGAAUGCGCAGAUAUCAGGAGGAACACCGAUGGCGAAGGCAGAUCUCUGGGCCGUAACUGACGCUGAGGAGCGAAAGGGUGGGGAGCAAACAGGCUUAGAUACCCUGGUAGUCCACCCCGUAAACGUUGGGAACUAGUUGUGGGGUCCAUUCCACGGAUUCCGUGACGCAGCUAACGCAUUAAGUUCCCCGCCUGGGGAGUACGGCCGCAAGGCUAAAACUCAAAGGAAUUGACGGGGACCCGCACAAGCGGCGGAGCAUGCGGAUUAAUUCGAUGCAACGCGAAGAACCUUACCAAGGCUUGACAUAUACGAGAACGGGCCAGAAAUGGUCAACUCUUUGGACACUCGUAAACAGGUGGUGCAUGGUUGUCGUCAGCUCGUGUCGUGAGAUGUUGGGUUAAGUCCCGCAACGAGCGCAACCCUCGUUCUAUGUUGCCAGCACGUAAUGGUGGGAACUCAUGGGAUACUGCCGGGGUCAACUCGGAGGAAGGUGGGGAUGACGUCAAAUCAUCAUGCCCCUUAUGUCUUGGGCUUCACGCAUGCUACAAUGGCCGGUACAAAGGGCUGCAAUACCGUGAGGUGGAGCGAAUCCCAAAAAGCCGGUCCCAGUUCGGAUUGAGGUCUGCAACUCGACCUCAUGAAGUCGGAGUCGCUAGUAAUCGCAGAUCAGCAACGCUGCGGUGAAUACGUUCCCGGGUCUUGUACACACCGCCCGUCAAGUCAUGAAAGUCGGUAACACCUGAAGCCGGUGGCCUAACCCUUGUGGAGGGAGCCCGUCGA